AACAAGGCGUACCUGCGGACCUGCGGAGGGAUCAUUAGAAAGAGUGUGUACCCCCCUGUAAAAUGGGUGGGUUACCUCCCGUCCUUUGUUGGCCUCUUAGGGGGCUAUUUUGAUUUUUCUGCUUUGGCGGGUUUAAACCUGCCAGAACACCCUCAAAAAAUUCUGAUCAUUAAAAACUGUUCAGUCCGAGGAUUUUAAGAAAAUAUAAAACAAAACUUUCAACAAUGGAUCUCAGAUCGG
rnacentral:misc_RNA from 1 species